rnacentral:misc_RNA from 1 species
AAGUCGUAACAAGGUUUCCGUAGGUGAACCUGCGGAAGGAUCAUUAGCGAAGUUCGGAAUGCCGGUUCGGUGCUGCAGCUGCCCAGCGAUGGGAUGUGCUCGUCCGGGCCGGUGUCCCUUCUCUAUUCCACCCCACUGUGAACCAAGCGUGCGAGCAGAAGAGAGAUCGGAAGCUCGCAUGCACACUUUAACAUACCCCUUAUGAAGUAUCUGAAUGUACCUUGCGUUAACUCGCACAAAUACAACUUUCAACAACGGAUCUCUUGGCUCUC